AUUGAACGCUGGCGGCAGGCCUAACACAUGCGAGUCGAGCGGAUGAAGGGAGCUUGCUCCUGGAUUCAGCGGCGGACGGGUGAGUAAUGCCUAGGAAUCUGCCUGGUAGUGGGGGAUAACGUCCGGAAACGGGCGCUAAUACCGCAUACGUCCUGAGGGAGAAAGUGGGGGAUCUUCGGACCUCACGCUAUCAGAUGAGCCUAGGUCGGAUUAGCUAGUUGGUGGGGUAAAGGCCUACCAAGGCGACGAUCCGUAACUGGUCUGAGAGGAUGAUCAGUCACACUGGAACUGAGACACGGUCCAGACUCCUACGGGAGGCAGCAGUGGGGAAUAUUGGACAAUGGGCGAAAGCCUGAUCCAGCCAUGCCGCGUGUGUGAAGAAGGUCUUCGGAUUGUAAAGCACUUUAAGUCGGGAGGAAGGGCAGUAAGUUAAUACCUUGCUGUUUUGACGUUACCAACAGAAUAAGCACCGGCUAACUUCGUG
rnacentral:rRNA from 1 species